rnacentral:rRNA from 1 species
ACGGAGGGUACUAGCGUUGUUCGGAUUUAUUGGGCGUAAAGAGUAUGUAGGCGGUAUUGUAAGUCUGAUGUGAAAUCCUCGAGCUUAACUCGAGAACUGCAUUGGAUACUGUAAUACUGGAGUGUCGGAGAGGGUACUGGAAUUCCUGGUGUAGAGGUGAAAUUCGUAGAUAUCAGGAAGAACACCGGUGGCGAAGGCGGGUACCUGGACGAUAACUGACGCUGAGAUACUAAAGCGUGGGGAGCAAACAG